rnacentral:rRNA from 1 species
UUCGCAAUGCCCGAAAGGGUGACGAAGCGACGCCGCGUGUGGGAAGAAGGCCUUCGGGUUGUAAACCGCUGUCGGGAGUUAAGAAAUGCAAGGAUGUUAAUAGCGUUCUUGCUUGACUAAGGCUCCGGAGGAAGCCACGGCUAACUCUGUGCCAGCAGCCGCGGUAAUACAGAGGCGGCAAGCGUUGUUCGGAAUUAUUGGGCGUAAAGAGCACGUAGGCGGCUGUGUAAGUCGGUUGUGAAAGCCUUCCGCUCAACGGAAGAACGGCAUCCGAUACUGCAUGGCUUGAGUGUGGGAGGGGAGAGUGGAACUUCUGGUGGAGCGGUGAAAUGCGUAGAUAUCAGAAGGAACACCGGCGGCGAAGGCGACUCUCUGGUCCAUAACUGACGCUGAGUGUGCGAAAGCUAGGGGAGCAAACGGGAUUAGAUACCCCGGUAGUCCUAGCCGUAAACGAUGGGCACUAAGUAGAGGGGUUUU